GGGAAUCACAAGUCACAAGAAACACAUGUUAUUACAAUGGAUAAUCAAUGGGUCAUCAUACUAUGACUUUCUUGCAAGUUGUGCAGUUGUUGCCUCAAGCUUGCUGCCUCC
ncrna:Oryza sativa miR444f stem-loop (osa-MIR444f)